rnacentral:rRNA from 1 species
CUAAGAAUAUUCCGCAAUGGACGAAAGUCUGACGGAGCGACGCCGCGUGGAUGAAGAAGGCCGAAAGGUUGUAAAAUCCUUUUGCUGAGGAAGAAUAAGUGUGGGAGGGAAUGCCCGCAUGAUGACAUGAAUCGGCGAAUAAGCCCCGGCCAACUACGUGCCAGCAGCCGCGGUAACACGCAGGGGGCAAGCGUUGUUCGGAAUUACUGGGCGUAAAGGGCAUGUAGGCGGUUUAGUAAGCUUGGCGUGAAAGUCCACAGCUUAACUGUGGGAUUGCGUUGGUAACUAGAUGACUAGAGUUACGGAGAGGGAUCUAGAAUUCCUGGUGUAGGGGUGGAAUCUGUAGAGAUCAGGAAGAAUACCGAUGGCGAAGGCAAGCUUCUAGCCGAUAACUGACGCUGAGGUGCGAAAGUGUCGGGAUCAAACU